AGAGAUGUGUGAUGACGCAUAUCAAUAAGCGGAGGAAAAGAAACUAACAAGGAUUCCCUUAGUAACGGCGAGUGAAGCGGGAAGAGCUCAAAUUUGAAAUCUUCAAGGUUCUACCUUGACGAAUUGUAGUUUAUAGAAGUGUUUUCUGUUAGUAGAGUGGCAAAAGUUCUUUGGAAUAGGACAUCAUAGAGGGUGAGAAUCCCGUAUUUGGUCAUUCUUUCUAGCUUUGUGAUACACUUUCAACGAGUCGGAUUGUUUGGGAAUGCAGUCCAAAAUGGGUGGUAAAUUUCAUCUAAAGCUAAAUAUUGGCGAGAGACCGAUAGCGAACAAGUACCGUGAGGGAAAGAUGAAAAGAACUUUGAAAAGAGAGUUAAACAGUACGUGAAAUUGUCAAAAGGGAAGCGUUUGACACCAGUGUUGUUUUUCCGAAAAUCAAUUACGAAUGUUUUAUUUUUGAGGAGUUAUGACUUCAUCGGCUUGCUUCUCUCUUUAUGAAACUUUCUUAAUGCACUUUUCGGUUAACAAGUCAACAUCAAUUUCUUUUGUUGUAAAAGGGUAUGAGGAAGGUGGCUUUCUUUUCGGAGAAAGUGUUUAUAGCCUUGUACCUCUGCAAUCGGAGAGAUUGAGGUCUGCAGCGUAGAUCCUUCGGGGUUAGAUACAUUUGUGCUAAGUUAUAGCUUUUCAUAGACAACUUGUUGACUAUGUUAGUCUUGUAGCUUACUCGCUUAUGCUAUUUUACCUACGCUUAGGAUGUUGAGUCGUAGAGCACGCAG
rnacentral:rRNA from 1 species